rnacentral:misc_RNA from 1 species
AACGCACCUUGCGCUCUCUGGUAUUCCGGAGAGCAUGCCUGUUUGAGUGUCAUGAACUCUUCAACCCAUCAGUUCCUUGUGAAUUGUGUGGUGUUUGGAUUUUGAGCGUUGCUGGUCUAGCCUCUAGUGGGCGAAGACGAAGCUCGUUCGUAAUACAUUAGCAACUCAAUUUCGAAACUCGGAUUGACUCGGCGUAAUAGACUAUUCGCUGAGGACACUACUUGUAGUGGCCGAAUUUCGAGGUAGAAGCUUCUAACUCAUUUGAAGUCAAAUAUUUUAGAUUAGACCUCAAAUCAGGCAGGAUUACCCGCUGAACUUAA